rnacentral:rRNA from 1 species
GAUGAACGCUGGCGGCGUGCCUAAUACAUGCAAGUCGAGCGAACAGACGAGGAGCUUGCUCCUCUGACGUUAGCGGCGGACGGGUGAGUAACACGUGGAUAACCUACCUAUAAGACUGGGAUAACUUCGGGAAACCGGAGCUAAUACCGGAUAACAUGUUGAACCGCAUGGUUCAACAGUGAAAGACGGUCUUGCUGUCACUUAUAGAUGGAUCCGCGCCGCAUUAGCUAGUUGGUAAGGUAACGGCUUACCAAGGCAACGAUGCGUAGCCGACCUGAGAGGGUGAUCGGCCACACCGGAACUGAGACACGGUCCAGACUCCUACGGGAGGCAGCAGUAGGGAAUCUUCCGCAAAGGGCGAAAGCCUGACGGAGCAACGCCGCGUGAGUGAAGAAGGUCUUCGGAUCGUAAAACUCUGUUAUUAGGGAAGAACAAAUGUGUAAGUAACUAUGCACGUCUUGACGGUACCUAAUCAGAAAGCCACGGCUAACUACGUG